AUCUCUCUCUCCCUGUGUGUGUGUGUGUGUGUGUGUGUGUGUGUUUGAUGAGACCAGAUGGACUACGGACAACGCCAAAAGACAUGUGCUCAGCGCCAAGAGCCGAGUUACACUCACAAACACACUUUCACAGCACAACACUCACCUCACCAGAGAAAGUCUACGCUCACACUUCCCCGUUCACUUACACUCGUAGUAAAGUUGCCGCGAUAUUUUAUUUAUUCCCCGUGAAAUGAGUAAAACAAGCUCUUCUCGUUUGAACCUGUCUGUCGUGGACGACUCCCAAAUCACACACCACGCACCACGGCGGAUUUGAAUGAAAGCAUCUGCACAAACAUGAAUUCAUGUCACAGCUUUGCCUCACUGUGCCUGCCAGGACUCUGACUGAUUGUCCUUCAUGUGUUGUGUGUGUGUGUCUGUGAUGACAGGGAUUCCGUGCAGUGGAAUGUUGUGAAGACACUGUGACAGAUCACACUUUGUUCUCAUGGUAACACGAUCUGUGUUCUGCAGCAUGAACGUCACUGGUUAAGUUAAUGAAUGCAUGUUGUCUCUUGUCUGCUUACAAACAGAGUCCAAACCACUGAUGAGCCUCAGAGAGAGAGUUGAGAGGAUGCCAUCUACAGCAGCGUUCAGUCAUUCAAUUACAAGAAUACCAACGGGGAUCUGCACUAAAGAGCAACAACAAACCACGAGAGUUCACUGAGGUCACGAUCUGUCACGUCUCCAGUCUGCAGGAGGCCAACACACACACACACACGCCCAGGGGAGACUCGCAGAGGAACAGAGACUGAUCCUGCACAGCGUCUGUGAGCUUCUCUGGCCACCGUCAGAGUCAUGGUUUUAAUUUGAGGUGAAAAAUAUUGAAUGUGCUCAUGUGAGAAGGUCUCAAACGCGUGGCCCUGCCUCGGGGCGCAGACCCCCGGGACACAUUCUGAAGACGACACCACAUUUUUCUUUCACACUCUUGGAUCUGAGUUAUUAGCUCGGGGGCUGAAAGCGUGCUGAUGUGAAAAGGAGCCGUGAUGAGAAAAACAGGCUGAUGUCCAUCAUGAAGCUGACCUCAGCUGAGGCCAGAGAUACGAGCAGAACGACGCUCCUCAUCGUACUGAGCAUUUACUUCACUUCAGCAGCUACCUAUGGCGUUGGUCUGGUUCUUGUAGCCGUUCUUCAUGCACUCGUCCACAUAGGACUUGGGG